AUGCUCUUUCUUUUCGUUUUUCUUCCUUCCUCCCUUCCUUUGUUCCCUUCUGGCCGGCAGACAGAAGUGGGAAAUAGGAAAAGGAAAAGGAAGCUUUUUGGUGAGAUAACACUUUUCCCUUUGUUCUUCCAAAUGCUCUUUCUUUUCGUUUUUCUUCCUUCCUCCCUUCCUUUGUUCCCUUCUGGCCGGCAGACAGAAGUGGGAGUGGGCACACACAGAGCGGGUAGGCUGGAGAGAGCGAGAGCAGGCGCUUUUGCUUCCAUCUGCUGGUUCAGGAACCGCACCCACGUGGGAGGCUGGCUCUGCAGGUGAUGGCUUCAACCGCUGCUGAGUCACUCCCCAGAUGCCUGCAAUGGCCAGUAGCCGUGCUGGGCUGGAGUGGAGCUGGGAGGGUCAUCUUGGUCUCCCACAAAGGCGGCCGGGCCCCAACUACUUUGAGGCAUCACCUGCUGCCUCCCGGGGUCUUGCACCAGCAGGAAGCUCGAAUCAGGAGCCAGAGCUGGAGUAUUGUACCCAGGCACUCUGAUAUGGGAUACAGGCAUUUGCUUAUCUCAUAAACAUUUAUCUGAAAGAAGAGAGGUGCUCCAUCUGCUGGUUCAUUCUGGCCAGGUUGAAGCCAGGAGUCAGGAGCUUCAUCCAUGGCUGGCAGAGUCCCAAGGACUUGGGCCAUCUGUGGGACCCACCUUGCCACAGCACCUUACAAGGGAGCUGGGGCGGUGUGGACUGAAUCCGAUAUGGCAUGCGGGCAGUGGCGGCUUAACACUGCUGUGUGCGACAUUGGCCCUGAUGCAGGUGUCUUAAGUGCAGGCCUCACCUCUGGGCUUAAAGGCACAUCCUGUCCCUAAAAUAGUUGACUUAAAAAAAGCAACCCGUGCUCGCUUCGGCAUCACAUAUACUAAAAUUGGAACGAUACAGAGAAGAUUAACAUGGCCCUUGCGCAAGGAUGACACGCAAAUUCGUGAAGCAUUCCAAUAAAAAAAAAAAAAAAAAAAAAAACCCA
rnacentral:lncRNA from 1 species